rnacentral:rRNA from 1 species
AGGAUGAACGCUGGCGGCGUGCUUAACUCAUGCAAGUCAAGGGGGCCCAGCAAUGGGCAACCGGCGAACGGGUGCGUAACACGUGAGCAACCUACCGAAUUGUGGGGGAUAGCCGGCCCAACGGCCGGGUAAUACCGCAUACGCUCGAGACCAGGCAUUUGGACUCGAGGAAAUUUACGGAGCAAUUCGAGGGGCUCGCGGCCUAUCAGCUAGUUGGUGAGGUAACGGCUCACCAAGGCGACGACGGGUA